CUAUUAUGGAGAGUUUGAUCCUGGCUCAGGACGAACGCUGGCGGCGUGCCUAAUACAUGCAAGUCGAACGGACUUUACAUAGAAGUUAGCUUCUAGCUUUGGUUAGUGGCGGACGGGUGAGUAACACGUAGGCAACCUGCCCACAAGAUCGGGAUAACAUUCGGAAACGAAUGCUAAGACCGGAUGCACAAGUUUGCCGCAUGGCGAGCUUGGGAAACACGGUGUAAGCUGUGGCUUGUGGAUGGGCCUGCGGCGCAUUAGCUAGUUGGUGGGGUAAUGGCUCACCAAGGCGACGAUGCGUAGCCGACCUGAGAGGGUGA
rnacentral:rRNA from 1 species